GACGAAGGGGGCAAGCGUUGUUCGGAAUUACUGGGCGUAAAGGGCGCGUAGGCGGUUCUUUAAGUCAGGCGUGAAAGCCCUGGGCUCAACCUGGGAGUGGCGCUUGAUACUGGAGGACUAGAGAGUGGGAGAGGUUGGUGGAAUUCCCAGUGUAGAGGUGAAAUUCGUAGAUAUCGGGAGGAACACCGGUGGCGAAGGCGGCGAUCUGGGUAGAUACUGACGCUGAGGUGCGAAAGCGUGGGGAGCAAACAGG
rnacentral:rRNA from 1 species